AACGACUCUCGGCAACGGAUAUCUCGGCUCUCGCAUCGAUGAAGAACGUAGCGAAAUGCGAUACUUGGUGUGAAUUGCAGAAUCCCGUGAACCAUCGAGUCUUUGAACGCAAGUUGCGCCCCAAGCCAUUAGGCCAAGGGCACGUCUGCCUGGGUGUCACGC
rnacentral:rRNA from 3 species